rnacentral:lncRNA from 1 species
UUUUAAAUUAGUAAAUAAUUUAAGUUAGUUUGUAAAGCUACACCAAGACACACACAUGGAGUUUCGGCACUCUCUGACAUGUAUAGUAAUGAUUUUAUCACUACUUUUACCUUUAAGAUUAGCUGUUUUAACAUUUUAACAUUUUUAUCUGUAUAUAUUUCUAGGCUUUAGUGCUUGUGCAUAAUACAACGGACUUAUCUUGCUCGAAAUCCCACUUCCAACUCAUCAUUGGUGAGCAGGGGACUAAGACUAACGGAAUGAGUACUUAUGCUUGUAAAUAAUUGCACAAAUUAUAAAUAAAUAAGUAUUUUCACCUAUAUUUUACCUGAGUUUACUUGUCAAAAAAUUGCGUGCAAUUGUAACCAAAAUCUGCGCGCAAACGUAAUGAUUUUUGCGUGCAAAUGUAAUGGUAAUGCGUGCAAACUUAAUGCACCAAUUUAUUCUAUUGGAAUAGGAAUGGCAGUACUGUAUUUGAAGUUGAAGAGUCGCUAAUGUCAGAUUUUGAUUUGAUGGUGGCCUGCUUUUCAAAUACAGCUCUGUUAUUCCUUGAAUAUUACAACAAUGGACAUGGAAUUGCUAUUACAUGUAUUAAUUUGAAUGCAAAGCAGCCUUGAUAUAGUCCAGUUGAAUAAUAGAAAAUUAUAUAGAAUUUAGAUAUAGUAUAGAAUAUUUAAACUUAAAUUUUGCUGACAAAUUGAGUACAGAAAAUAUUUUUUUUAAUAUAAUUUUUUUUUAAUUACUACUAGGCACAAACACUUGUCUCUGGAAACAAAUUUCCUGUAUACUUUAAUUUUUUUUCAUAGACAAGUGCCUGUGCUUAUAGAGCCUCUAAUGACCCUGAAGUCCCAGUCAGGAAAUAUCAUUUUUAAUCUUUUACAAAUCUCCAUAGAUGUAUAAGUACAAUAAAAAUGGGCUUCUACUUUGUCUUUAUUGAAUACUAUUGGGCUUCUACAGUGUCUUCAUUGUUUCAUUUUAUUGUCGGAUGAUUUCCAAAUAUACUAAGAUGGUCUCCGAAAUUUGGUAAAUUGGUUUAAAAAAUAAAAAUUCCAGUUUUAAUUUUGAAAUUUUUCCCUGGAGUAGUGACUAGAUAUGAAAAGAUAAGCUAUAAGUUAUACUAGAAUAUAACCCCAAUGACAAGUUCUUGCUGAGUGCUGUGCAGGAAACAUUUGCUCUCCAGAACAAAGUAAAUGUUACAUUAAAAUGGUUUUAAUAUCGCCUACUAUAUGACAUGCAGUUGUGCUUUUGUGUAGAGUUUGUUUAAAAAACUAUCAGAUAUUUUUCUUUAUAGCUAAACAAAUAUUUGAAUCAAUUAUAUUUUAUUACUUAUUUUAAAUAUUUCAUCCUUUAGUGACAUGGUGCAUUCCUUGUGAUUGCUAAACACUCUAAAAGGUAACACAUCAAGUCAUUUUGAUUAUAGACAGUCAGUCAAAAAUUGAUCUGUUUUUAGGUGAAUGAAUCAAGGUUAUUGAAGCAUUCCAGAAUUAGAGUAAUUUUAUCCCAAUUUGGGUACUUUGAUAACUGAUGCGAGGGCAAUCAAUGCAUUUGGUAAUAAAUUAGAAUUGUAUGUACAAUGAAAAGAGACGCCAAGACUCUUUAAAAAUAUUAUUCAUUGUUACAAAAAUUGCAAGUAAUUGUGUUUCUGAUUAAAUAAUACUGAAAUUAAAAAUACAUUAGGAGACUGGUGGCAGCCUUUGGGUGUUACAUAAUUAAUAUUUUGUAUUUGUAGUUUACAUCAAGUCUUCAAAGGUUAUUAGUUUUAUUAUAAAUUAAAAAGCAUCAUCUGUUCAAAUAUUUUUCAUUAUAAACAACAAGUUUUCCCCCUUAUUUUUCUUA